AGAAAUAAGUUAUUCAAGAGAAAGCUUCUAACUUAACUCUUUAGCGAUGAAAUUCGUUAGUAUUUC
rnacentral:tRNA from 1 species